GAUGAACGCUGGCGGCGUGCCUAACACAUGCAAGUCGAACGGAGUCCAGCCUUUAAGACCUUCGGGUCAAAGAGGGGAAGACUGAGUGGCGGACGGGUGAGUAACACGUGGGCAACCUGGCUCAUAGAGGGGGAUAACAGAGAGAAAUUUCUGCUAAUACCGCAUAAGCACACACUGCCGCAUGGCAGAGGGUGAAAAGAGAAUCGCUAUGAGAUGGACCCGCGUCUGAUUAGCCAGUUGGCAGGGUAAGAGCCUACCAAAGCGACGAUCAGUAGCCGAUCUGAGAGCAUGAACGGCCACAUUGGGACUGAGACACGGCCCAAAAUCCUACGGGAGGCAGCAGUGGGGGAUAUUGCACAAUGGGGGGAACCCUGAUGCAGCGACGCCGCGUGAGUGAAGAAGUAUUUAGGUAUGUAAAGCUCUAUCAGCAGGGAAGAUAAUGACAGUACCUGAAUAAGAAGCCCCGGCUAACUACGUG
rnacentral:rRNA from 1 species